rnacentral:lncRNA from 1 species
CAUGUUAGCCAGGAUGGUCUCGAUCUCCUGACCUUGUGAUCCGCCCACCUCGGCCUCCCAAAGUGCUGGGAUUACAGGCGUGAGCCACCACGCCCAGCCGCCAUUUAAUACUUUUAAGAGGUAUUUAUAACAAUCUCAAACUAUAACUUUAGGAAGUGGCCCGUCUUCAGAAUAAGACACUGAUAUUGAUACCUUCGACAUGAGAAGUAGCAGCUGGCUUGAUUCUUCUCAUCUUCAUCCAGUAGGUAGAUUUUCGGAAAGAUGCUGGAAAAUCACUCACUGGUUCACACGAAGAUGCAGACGAUGAACCACUUAAGGAGUCAUCAUGAGGGAUAGUGUACUGGAAACUAUUAUCCUUUAUGGAGCACUGGGUCCUGCUACUAAUACAACAUAAAAAUAUAUACCACAAAGGAAGGUCUGGAACAAAAUUUCUAUACAUUCUUUUAUAUUAUAACCAAGUUGGUUACCUCUGCAGAAAACUAAGAAGCCUGCUAUAAAAACAGAAUGUAAGUUGUAAUCACCUAACAAUAACAAUAGUUGAUCCAACACAACAUGUACAAUUAUUAUCACACUUCAUUGUAAUAAGAGUAAGCAGUACACAUAAAUGAUCACUUUGCAGCCCAAGUAGACAUUCCUUCCUAGAUUCAUCUAAGAAAAGAAAGUAGGCGAAGCAAUAAAGGUGUUCUAUGACCCUUCAGAAGACUCCCUGGAUUUGUAACCUGGUAUGUCCCAGCCUCUCUCUUUCUCUGACAGAGGGAUGGCAACUAAAGGGUAUCUCUAAGGGAAAGGAAUAGUCUGUGGGCCCUAAUCUGACUCAUCUUCCUUCUCCCUCAGCAUUCUCCCUAAAACCUGAUGCCCUAUCUUAUUUAGGCAACAUGAUACUUAGCUUCCACAGCUAAAGGAUGGAUGCUAUCUUGCAUGAAUUAACCUGGCCAGAGAUUUCUGGUAUACAGCUGAAUCCAGAUUCCAAAAUCUAAGACCAGUCAGUAUGACAGCUAAAAAACAUUACUCUGUAACUACAAAGCAUCAGACAUUCUUCUAGGUGGCUCAAGAUGCAGCAGAGCAGCAGUUCUCCAAGAGUGGUCAAUGGACUCCUAGAACCUCCCUUUUCCAGCUAAAUACCUGUGAGGCCUACUUUAGAUUUAUGGUUCAGAAAGAUCCUUCUGGCUGCUCUAUGGAGACAGCCCAUGGGAGAAAGAGUAAACAAAAGGAAAAAAGUUAACUUGAAUUGGCAGAUUCAAGAUAACACUUUAGAUGUAGAGCUAAUAAGAAUUACACAUAGAGAGGUUUGUUUAUGACAUCAGGGAGUUGGAAGUAACACAGUGACCAUCCUUGCAAAAUGUGAUAGAUGCCUACUAUGGAAUACUGUGCUGCUGUUAGAAGCAAUAAACUAAUUCUACACAUAGAGACACGACCAUAACUAAAAAGUAUAUUGUUGAAUGAAAAUAAAUGUAUCAGCCAGGCAUGGUGGCUCACGCCUGUAAUCCCAGCACUUUGGGAGGCUGAGGCAGGUGGAUCACCUGAGGUCAGGAGUUCACGACCAGCUUGACCAACAUGGAGAAACCCCGUCUCUACUAAAAAUACAAAAUUAUCUGGGCAUGGUGGCACAUGCCUGUAAUCCCAGCUACUCAGUAGGUUGAAGCAGAAGAAUCGCUUGCACCUGGGAGGCAGAGGUUGUGGUGAGCCAAGAUCGCGCCAUUUGCACUCCAGCCUGGGGAACAAGAGCGAAACAAAAAAAAAAAAAAAAAAAAAAAAAGGUAAACAUGGUAAAUUAUAUGGGUAUACUUUACCUCAAUAAAAAAUAAACUAGGCCGGGGUGGUGGAUCACCCCUGUAAUCCCAGCACUUUGGGAGGCCAAGGCAGGCAGAUCACUUGAGGUCAGGAGUUGGAGACCAGCCUGGCCAAUAUGGUGAAACCCCACCUCUACUAAAAUACAAAAAUUAGCUGGGUGUGGUAGCGAGUGCCUGUAGUCCCAGCUACUUGGGAGGCUGAGACAG